rnacentral:rRNA from 1 species
UAGAGUUUGAUCCUGGCUCAGGUUGAACGCUGGCGGUGCGUUUAAUACAUGCAAGUCGAACGAGAUCAUUGAAGAGUUUACUUUUUAAUGUGACAGUGGCGGACGAGCGAGUAACACGUAAGUAGCUGCCUUGUACUCAAGGAUAACUAGUCGAAAGAUUAGCUAAUACCGGAUGGUCCCGAAAGGGUAAAGAUUUAUCGGUACAAGAGGUGCUUGCGGCCUAUCAGCUUGUUGGUGAGGUAAAGGCUUACCAAGGCUAUGACGGGUAUCUGGUGUGAGAGCACGACCAGACGCGAUGGGACUGAGACACGGCCCAUACUCCUACGGGAGGCAGCAGUAGAGAAUCUUCCGCAAUGGACGAAAGUCUGACGGAGCGACACCGCGUGGUGGAUGACACCCUUAGGGGCGUAAACACCUUUUAUGAGGGAAGAAAUUCUGACGGUACAUCAUGAAUAAGGACCGGCUAAUUACGUGCCAGCAGCCGCGGUAAUACGUAAGGUCCAAGCGUUAACCGGAAUUAUUGGGCGUAAAGCGUCCGCAGGCGGUUUGUUAAGUUGAUUAUUAAAUACCGAAGCUCAACUUCGGUGCUGUAGUCAAAACUGGCAAACUAGAGAUAUGGAGAGGUGCGUGGAAUUGUGCAAGUAGGGGUAAAAUCCGUAGAUAUGCAUAGGAACACCAAAAGCGAAGGCAGCGCACUGGCCAUUAUCUGACGCUCAUGGACGAAAGCGUGGGGAGCGAAAGGGAUUAGAUACCCCUGUAGUCCACGCCGUAAACGAUGCGUGCUCGAUGUUAGGACCCUCGACCUGGUCUUAGUGUCUAAGAUAACUCGAUAAGCACGCCGCCUGUGUAGUACGAUCGCAAGAUUAAAACUCAAAGGAAUAGACGGGGACCCACACAAGCGGUGGAGCAUGAGGUUUAAUUCGACAAUAAGCGGGGAACCUUACCAGGACUUGACAUCCCGAGAACUCUGAAGAAAUUUAGAGGUGCCGCAAGGAACUCGGUGACAGGUGCUGCAUGGUUGUCGUCAGCUCGUGCCUUGAGGUGUUCUGUUAAGUCAGUAAACGAGCGCAACCCAUGUCAUAAUUUGUAAUUUAUUAUGAGACUGCCGGCUCCAAGUCGGAGGAAGGUAUGGAUGACGUCAAAUCAGCAUGGCCCUUAUGUCCUGGGCUACACACGUGCUACAAUGGCUGGUACAAAGGGCAGCGAAGCCGUAAGGUGAAGCCAAUCCCAUCAAAACCAGUCCAAGUUCGGAUUGAGGUCUGCAACUCGACCUCAUGAAGUUGGAAUCGCUAGUAAUCGUAGAUCAGCAAUGCUACGGUGAAUCAGUUCCUGGGUCUUGUACUCACCGCCCGUCAAGUCAUGAAAGAUAGGGGCGCCCGAAGUCGCGUUAUCCUUUCGAGGAGCGUGCCUAAGGUGAAACUAUUGAUUGGGACUAAGUCGUAACAAGGUAACCG